CCUUGUACAUUAAGCACAGGUACCUUGUACACUUAGUGUAAAUGUCUUGUACACAGACAUAAAUUCCAUACAACCACUACUGAAUGUAUACUCAUGCAUAGGAAGAUUCAGAGUUUUCACUCUGGUGACAUGGCAUUUCACGUUUACCAGCUGUGAAACCCAUUAUUUUACAACAAUUUGAGUUGGAAAUGUAAAGGCCAUUUUCGUCUGUUAACAUUUGAUAUCCUUAUCAUUAAUUAGGUCAGUUAGAUGGACCAUUUCUUAAUUUUUGGGCCCAGCUGGGCCCAAAACACAAUUCUCCUGUGUUUUGUUUUUUAUACUACAAUGAGAUCGGUUUCUUAAUUAAGAAACAUGUGUCGGUCAAGAAAGAUUCACGGUAUGACUUAUAAUAAUCAAAUACGAUAAACCCUAGAUGACAACAUGCACAAAAUAUAUACACAUUGAUGAUUCUUAUCGUAUAAUAAAUCCCGAAAAAAGACAUGCAUCGUUUGUAGUUAGAGCCUAACCCCUCAUCAACAAUGGAUGAAACAAUAAAACAUGAGCUAAAAAAAUGUUAAUAUGGUUGCGUGCUUAAAAAACAAUAUCACAAUGUAUUGUAAGUAGGUUUUACGAAUGACACAAGCUUGAUUAAUUAAUCAAAAACCCGAUCACCUACUAAUUACACAAUGCAUGAACGGUACACCUAAACUGACUGCAUUGUCAUGACCCAAAAUGGAAUCACAUGGAUUGAGCUCAUUUUCAUGAAUAAAUCAAGCAUUUUUACUCGUUUCAUUGAUAUAAUCACCGUAGUAGACCUAGACUCAUUGUGAUAUCAUGGUCGGAGAUCAAUCAAAUGAUAUGAGAUCAUUUUUCCAAUCGCAUGCUAAUACACCAAAUCUCACUGCAUUGCAGUGAACCGAAACCUAAUCACAUAAAAUGAGCUCAUUUUCGUGAAGAAAUCUAGUGUUUCUAAUAGUUUGAUUGAUAUAAAUUACAAUCAUGCUAAUACACCAAAACUCACUGCACUGCCAGGACCCGGAAUCAAAUCGGACCAAAUGAGCUCAUUUUCAUGAACAAUCUGACCAUUUUCAAAUCCUUUGAUUCACAUAAUCACACCAAAAGAGCUCAUUUUCCCCUAACAAAUCGCCCUCAUUCAAAUAAUCAAUAAUACAGCUAAACUCAUUGCAAUGCCAUGACCCGGAAUCAAACCAAAUAAAAUGAGUUCAUUUUCACAAACAAUUUGUUUGAUUACUACAUCUAUACUCACUGCACUGCCAUGACCCAAAAUCAAAUCACACCAAAUGAGCUCAUUUUCAUGAAGAAAUCGGCCAUUUCGAAUCUUUGAUUAACAUAAUCAUACCAAUAACACACCUAAACUCACUGCAAUGCCAUGACCCGGAAUCAAAUCAGACCAAAUGAGCUCAUUUUCAUGAACAAAUACAUCAAUUUCAUUAGAUUCCAUUAACAUAAUUGUAAAUGGGUAGAAUUGGAUAGAAAAUUUUCGGUAUGCAAUGCAUAUAUGAUAUUAAAAUGAUCAUAAUCAAUGGUGAAUGUGAUUGAAAACUAAGAAUUAAAGAAAUGACUUUGGUCGGCCCAUUUUUCAUAAAUAAAUUUAAAUCAUGCAUGAAUCCACCCAUUGAAUACACAAUCUAACAACUAGCCCCUAAUCAAUCAGUCAAUUAAUCAUUCAUUCAAUCAAUUAAUUAAUUAAUUAAUCAAUCACUGAUAUAUUUAUAUAUUUACAACCUAAAUUCAUCAAAAUAUUCAGCAAUUAAGCAUAGUUCUUCAAGGUAAUCUCAUCAACAUAAUCCAAACCUUAUAAUAAAUUUCUGAGAAUCAAAGCCAUAUACGAGAAAAAAAUUUCUCAAAAAUGAAGAUGAGAAAAAACUCACCCAGAAUAUAUUUUCUGCAUUGCCAAACAAAUAAUCUGAAGCUUUAGGCCCUAAAAUCUUCACCAAAACACAUAAAAAAUUUCCUUCAAAGCAAACAAAAAUGGCUCAGUGAAACUGCACUCUGUUUUCUCUCU
rnacentral:lncRNA from 1 species